AACCUGCGUGAUAUCGUUCUUCUCCGUAGUGGAAAUCGUGGUUGGCUUAUUGCCCGGUUUGAUGGUAAAAUCGGAGUAAUCGUAGAAGUAAUCGUAAUCCUGCGAAGACAACACGACGGAUAAAUAUUACCGGCGGAUACCGGUUCGCUCCACUCUUGCGUCAAACUCAUCGUGAAUACGUAAGAUCAACGCAAUUAAAAAUUGAAGAAAAAAUUUCGACUAUGCCUUCAAGUAGUACAGCAGAAGGUAUACCACAGUAAAUCAUCAAUUGAUAUUCUUUUGCAAAUCUGUCCUGCGAUACGGAAAGCAAUAUAAAAGAAUUUACAAGAAAGACAAGAACAGAAAAGAUUACGUUUUAUGGAGACAUUUCGGUAAAACAAGAAGAAAAAGAAAGAAA